rnacentral:rRNA from 1 species
UACGAAGGGGGCAAGCGUUGUUCGGAAUUACUGGGCGUAAAGGGCGCGUAGGCGGCUUAUCAAGUCAGGCGUGAAAUUCCCGGGCUCAACCUGGGGGCUGCGCUUGAUACUGAUUGGCUUGAAUGCGGGAGAGGAUAGUGGAAUUCCCAGUGUAGAGGUGAAAUUCGUAGAUAUUGGGAAGAACACCAACGGCGAAGGCAGCUCGCUGGGACGGUACUGACGCUGAGACGCGAAAAGCGUGGGGAGCGAACAGG